rnacentral:rRNA from 1 species
AUACGUAGGUGGCAAGCGUUGUCCGGAAUUAUUGGGCGUAAAGCGCGCGCAGGCGGUCCUUUAAGUCUGAUGUGAAAGCCCACGGCUCAACCGUGGAGGGUCAUUGGAAACUGGGGGACUUGAGUGCAGAAGAGGAAAGUGGAAUUCCGAGUGUAGCGGUGAAAUGCGUAGAGAUUUGGAGGAACACCAGUGGCGAAGGCGACUUUCUGGUCUGUAACUGACGCUGAGGCGCGAAAGCGUGGGGAGCAAACAGGAUUAGAUACCCUGGUAGUCCACGCCGUAAACGAUGAGUGCUAAGUGUUAGGGGGUUUCCGCCCCUUAGUGCUGCAGCUAACGCAUUAAGCACUCCGCCUGGGGAGUACGGUCGCAAGACUGAAACUCAAAUGAAUUGACGGGG